rnacentral:rRNA from 1 species
GGAGGAUCCAAGCGUUAUCCGGAAUCAUUGGGUUUAAAGGGUCCGUAGGCGGGUCUAUAAGUCAGUGGUGAAAUCCGGCAGCUCAACUGUCGAACUGCCAUUGAUACUGUAGGUCUUGAAUUUUUGUGAAGUAGCUAGAAUAUGUAGUGUAGCGGUGAAAUGCUUAGAUAUUACAUGGAAUACCGAUUGCGAAGGCAGGUUACUAACAAAACAUUGACGCUGAGGGACGAAAGCGUGGGUAGCGAAC